GGCUGGGCACGACCCCAGCCCGCGGCGGCACAGAAAGUGGGCAGAGGCGCGGGCCAUGCUGUGGCUGGCGCCCGCCGGGACCCAAACCAUCGUGGACAUGUCAUACGCCCACCACUUCCUGGACUUCCAGGGCUCCGACAUCCCCCGCGCCAUGCAGAAGCUGGUGGUGACCCGGCUGAGCCCCAACUUCCGCGAGGCCAUCACCCUGCGCGGGGACUGCCCGGUGCCACUCCCCGGGGACGGAGACCUCCUCGUCCGGAACCGAUUUGUCGGUGUCAAUGCAUCUGACAUCAACUAUUCCGUGGGCCGAUUAUGACCCUUCAGUCAAGACCCCCUUUGACAUAGGUUUCGAAGAUGUGGGAGAGGUGGUAGCCUUAGGCCUGUCUGCCAGUGCCAGGUACGCCGUGGGCCAGGCUGUGGCCUACAUGGCCCCCGGCUCCUUCGCUGAUUACACAGUGCUGCCAGCCGGUGCCGCAGCUCCCGUGGCCUCUCUGCAGCCCCAGUAUGUCACCCUGCCGGUAAGUGCUACCACUGCAUACAUCAGCCUGAAGGAGCUCGGAGGACUGUCGGAAGGGACAAAAGUUUUGGUGACGGCAGCAGCUGGGGGGACAGGCUAGUUUGCCGUGCAGCUUGCAAAGAAGGCCAGGUGCCAUGUCAUUGGCACCUGCUCUUCCGAUGAAAAGUCUGCUUUUCUGAAAUCCACUGGGUGUGAUCGUCCUAUCAACUAUACAACCAAGCCCGUCAGCACUGUCCUGAAGCAGGAGUACCCCAAAGGUGUGGAUGUGGUAUAUGAGUCCGUCGGGGGCACCAUGUUCGACUUGGCCGUAGAUGUCUUGGCUAUUAAGGGGCGCUUGAUAGUCAUUGGAUUCGUGUCUGGCUACCAAACUCCUACUGGCCUUUCUCCCAUGAAAGCAGGGACAUUACCAGCCAAACUGCUGAAGAAAUCUGCCAGUGUCCGGGGCUUCUUCUUGAACCAUUCCCUUUCUAAGUAUCAAGCAACCAUGGACCAUUUGCUUAAGAUGUAUGCGGGUGGAGACCUGGUCUGCAAGGUGGACCUUGGAGACUGGUCUGCGGAGGGCAGGUUUAUUGGCCUGGAGUCUGUAUUCCGGGCUGUUGAUUAUAUGUACAUGGGAAAAAACACUGGAAAAAUUGUAGUUGAAUUAUCUCGCUCUGUCAGCAGUAAGCUGUAA